UGGGGAAUAUUGCACAAUGGGCGAAAGCCUGAUGCAGCGACGCCGCGUGCGGGAUGAAGGCCUUCGGGUUGUAAACCGCUUUUAAUUGGGAGCAAGCGAGAGUGAGUGUACCUUUUGAAUAAGCACCGGCUAACUACGUGCCAGCAGCCGCGGUAAUACGUAGGGUGCAAGCGUUAUCCGGAAUUAUUGGGCGUAAAGAGCUCGUAGGCGGUUUGUCACGCCUGGUGUGAAAGUCCAUCGCUUAACGGUGGAUCUGCGCCGGGUACGGGCAGGCUAGAGUGCAGUAGGGGAGAUUGGAAUUCCCGGUGUAACGGUGGAAUGUGUAGAUAUCGGGAAGAACACCAAUGGCGAAGGCAGAUCUCUGGGCUGUUACUGACGCUGAGGAGCGAAAGCAUGGGGAGCGAACAGGAUUAGAUACCCUGGUAGUCCAUGCCGUAAACGGUGGAUGCUGGAUGUGGGACCCUUCCACGGGUUCCGUGUCGGAGCUAACGCGUUAAGCAUCCCGCC
rnacentral:rRNA from 1 species